rnacentral:ncRNA from 1 species
GUAUUAUGUAAAAGGAGGAAAGGUUAGCACCUCACUUGAUAAGCAUGGAAUGGAUGACCUAUUGACCUUUAAUUAUACACACACGUAUGCACAAUAUACAUGUUUAUACACAUACAUUCAUGUAUACACACAGUAUACAUAUGGAUACAUACAUGCACACACAUAUUUAAGCCAUUGCUGCCCAUAUUGUGACACCUAACCAUGUUUUUCU